rnacentral:rRNA from 1 species
UGGGGAAUAUUGCACAAUGGGCGCACGCCUGAUGCAGCGACGCCGCGUGGGGGAUGACGGCCUUCGGGUUGUAAACCUCUUUCACCAUCGACGAAGGUCCGGGUUUUCUCGGAUUGACGGUAGGUGGAGAAGAAGCACCGGCCAACUACGUGCCAGCAGCCGCGGUAAUACGUAGGGUGCGAGCGUUGUCCGGAAUUACUGGGCGUAAAGAGCUCGUAGGUGGUUUGUCGCGUUGUUCGUGAAAUCUCACGGCUUAACUGUGAGCGUGCGGGCGAUACGGGCAGACUAGAGUACUGCAGGGGAGACUGGAAUUCCUGGUGUAGCGGUGGAAUGCGCAGAUAUCAGGAGGAACACCGGUGGCGAAGGCGGGUCUCUGGGCAGUAACUGACGCUGAGGAGCGAAAGCGUGGGGAGCGAACA